rnacentral:rRNA from 1 species
AAUCGAACCCGGAGAUAGCUGGUUCUCCUCGAAAUAGCUUUAGGGCUAGCCUCAUGGAUCAUUGAUGGGGGUAGAGCACUGAAUGUGCGCGGGGGCCACAAAGCCUACCAAACGCUAUCAAACUUCGAAUACCAUACAAUGCAGACCAUGGGAGUCAGUCCGCGAGAGAUAAGUUCCGCGGGCAAAAGGGGAACACCCCAGAUCAACCGCUAAGGUCCCCAAGUUCACGUUAAGUGGAGAAGGAUGUGGAAUUGCACAGACAACCAGGAUGUUGGCUCAGAAGCAGCCACACAUUUAAAGAGUGCGUAAUAGCUCACUGGUCGAGUGAUUGUGCGCCGAAGAUGUCCGGGGCUAAACGUGACACCGAAGCGAUGGGUGCAUCUGAAAGGAUGCGCGGUAGAGGAGCAAUGUGCAGAGGCAGAAGCCGUAUCGAGAGGCACGGUGGACACUGCACAAGAGAGAAUGCCGGUAUGAGUAGCGAGAGGCAUGCGAGAAACAUGCCCGUCGAAAGCCCAAGGUUUCCUGGGGAAGGUUCAUCCGCCCAGGGUAAGUCGGGGCCUAAGCCGAGGACGGAAGUCGUAGGCGAUGGACAGCAGGUGUAGAUUCCUGCACUACCGAUGGAAUGAAGCAGUGACACAGAAGGAUAACUCGAGCAGGGUGAUGGUCAACCCUGUGCAAGCAUCAAGGUUGGGUUGUAGUGAAGUACGCAACCCUAUAAGCUGAGGUGUGAUGCGGACCGAAAUUUCAGUAGGGAAGCGAGUGAGUUCACGCUGGCGAGAAAAGCUGCUAGUACAUCCAAAGGUACCCGUACCGGAAACCGACGCAGGUGGGCGAGGAGAGAAUCCUGAGACGAACGGGAGAACCCUUGUUAAGGAACUCGGCAAAAUGACCCCGUAACUUCGGGAUAAGGGGUGCCUGCGAGAGCAGGCCGCAGAGAAUAGUCACAAGCGACUGUUUAGCAAAAACACAGGUAUCUGCGAAAGCGAGAGCUGACGUAUAGGUGCUGACACCUGCCCGGUGCUGGAAGGUUAAGGGAACAUGUUAGAGCAAUCGAAGCAUCGAACCGAAGCCCCAGUAAACGGCGGCCGUAACUAUAACGGUCCUAAGGUAGCGAAAUUCCUUGUCGGGUAAGUUCCGACCCGCACGAAUGGUGUAACGACUUGUGAGCUGUCUCAACAGGGGGCCCGGUGAAAUUGAAGUAUGGGUGAAGAUGCCCAUUACCCGCGACUGGACGGAAAGACCCCGUAGAGCUUUACUGCAGCCUGAUAUUGAGUUUCGGUAACUGAUGCACAGGAUAGGUGGGAGUCUGAGAGACAUGGGUUUCGGCUCAUGUGGAGACGCUGUUGGGAUACCACUCUUCGGUUACUGAAAUUCUAACAUAGCUCUGUGAAACCAGAGGAUGGACAGUGUCAGGUGGACAGUUUGACUGGGGCGGUCGCCUCCGAAAGAGUAACGGAGGCGCCCAAAGGUACCCUCAGAAUGGAUGGAAACCAUUCGAAGAGAGCAAAGUCAGAAGGGUGCUUGACUGCGAGACCAACAAGUCGAGCAGGUACGAAAGUAGGGCUUAGUGAUCCGGCGGUAAGAGAGUGGAAUUGCCGUCGCUCAACGGAUAAAAGCUACCUCGGGGAUAACAGGCUGAUCUCCCCCAAGAGUCCACAUCGACGGGGAGGUUUGGCAC